AAACUUUCAACAACGGAUCUCUUGGUUCUCGCAUCGAUGAAGAACGCAGCGAAAUGCGAUACGUAAUGUGAAUUGCAGAAUUUUGUGAAUCAUCGAAUCUUUGAACGCACAUUGCGCCUUUUGGUAUUCCAGAAGGCAUGCCUGUUUCAGCGUCAUUU
rnacentral:rRNA from 1 species